GAGACCUACCAACGCAACCAAAAUAUUCACAUAUAAACUUUUUCGGAUAUGCCUACGGGUCCCAUGGACACAAGAAAAAGAACACAUCAGGUCAGAGAUGGAGAUGGAGAGAGCUGGAUGGGCAGGGUGAAAUUUGUCAGGAUGGCUGCUGUUGGAAUGCAUCAGCCUAGCUGUCCUUCCUGAUGUCCUUUGGAGCUUUUAGACUGCCAUUGCGAGUACCACUGAUUGAGUCAGACAGGCAUGAAUCCCCCCCCC